rnacentral:rRNA from 1 species
CAGCCGCCACGGUAAUACGAAGGGUGCAAGCGUUAAUCGGAAUUACUGGGCGUAAGGCGUGCGCAGGCGGUUGUGUAAGACAGGUGUGAAAUCCCCGGGCUUAACCUGGGAACUGCGCUUGUGACUGCACAGCUAGAGUAUGGCAGAGGGGGGUGGAAUUCCACGUGUAGCAGUGAAAUGCGUAGAGAUGUGGAGGAACACCGAUGGCGAAGGCAGCCCCCUGGGCCAAUACUGACGCUCAUGCACGAAAGCGUGGGGAGCAAACAGGAUUAGAUACCCGGGUAGUCCCUGUCUCUUAUAC